rnacentral:rRNA from 1 species
CCCUUAGAUGUCCUGGGCUGCACGCGCGCUACACUGAUGUGUCCAGUAAGCACCUAACCUCUUCCGAAAGGAACGGGUAACCUUUGCAAAGCACAUCGUGAUGGGGAUAGAUUAUUGCAAUUAUUAGUCUUGAACGAGGAAUUCCUAGUAAGCACAAGUCAUCAGAUUGUGUUGAUUACGUCCCUGCCCUUUGUACACACCGCCCGUCGCUCCUACCGAUUGAAUGUUCCGGUGAGCUCUUCGGACUGCGCGGUCUGCAGUUUCUGCGUUCCGUGCGGAAAGUUGCGCAAACCUUAACAUUUAGAGGAAGGAGAAGUCGUAACA